GUCCAAGUAGCUCAGGCGGGUAGAGGGAUAACAAUGGGGAAAUAGGUCCGGGGUUCGAGUCCCCGCUUGGGUC
ensembl:tRNA